rnacentral:rRNA from 1 species
GCUUACGGCCACACCGCCUGGUUCACG